rnacentral:rRNA from 1 species
CUCCCAAACCCCUGUGAACAUACCUGAACGUUGCUUCGGCGGGACCGCCCCGGCGCCCUCAGCGGCCCGGAACCAGGCGCCCGCCGGAGGACCCAAACUCUUGCUUCAAUUAGUGGCAUUCUCUGAGUCUCACAAACAAAAAUAAAUCAAAACUUUCAACAACGGAUCUCUUGGCUCUGGCAUCGAUGAAGAACGCAGCGAAAUGCGAUAAGUAAUGUGAAUUGCAGAAUUCAGUGAAUCAUCGAAUCUUUGAACGCACAUUGCGCCCGCCAGUAUUCUGGCGGGCAUGCCUGUUCGAGCGUCAUUUCAACCCUCAAGCCCCCUAGGGGGCUUGGUGUUGGGGACCGGCCCGCCCCUCGCGGCGGCCGCCGCCCCCGAAAUGCAGUGGCGACCUCGCCGCAGCCUCCCCUGCGUAGUAGCACAACCUCGCACCGGAGCGCGGAGACGGUCACGCCGUAAAACGCCCAACUUUCUUAGAGUUGACCUCGGAUCAGGUAGGAAUACCCGCUGAACUUAAGCAUAUCAAUAAGCGGAGGAAAAGAAACCAACAGGGAUUGCCCCAGUAACGGCGAGUGAAGCGGCAACAGCUCAAAUUUGAAAUCUGGCCCCCAGGGCCCGAGUUGUAAUUUGCAGAGGAUGCUUUUGGCGCGGUGCCUUCCGAGUUCCCUGGAACGGGACGCCAUAGAGGGUGAGAGCCCCGUCUGGUCGGACACCAAGCCAGUGUAAAGCUCCUUCGACGAGUCGAGUAGUUUGGGAAUGCUGCUCUAAAUGGGAGGUAUAUGUCUUCUAAAGCUAAAUACCGGCCAGAGACCGAUAGCGCACAAGUAGAGUGAUCGAAAGAUGAAAAGCACUUUGAAAAGAGGGUUAAACAGUACGUGAAAUUGUUGAAAGGGAAGCGUUUAUGACCAGACUUGGGCCCGGUGAAUCAUCCAGCGUUCUCGCUGGUGCACUUUGCCGGGCUCAGGCCAGCAUCAGUUCGUCGCGGGGGACAAAAGCUUCGGGAACGUGGCUCCCUCGGGAGUGUUAUAGCCCGUUGCAUAAUACCCUGCGGUGGACUGAGG